rnacentral:rRNA from 1 species
AAACCAACAGGGAUUGCCUCAGUAGCGGCGAGUGAAGCGGCAAGAGCUCAGAUUUGAAAUCUCACCCCUUGUGGGUGCGAGUUGUAAAUUGCAGGUUGGAGUCUCGGUUUAGACGUGUGUGCAAGUCCCUUGGAACAGGGCGCCACUGAGGGUGAGAGCCCCGUAGUGUGCACGAUCGACGCUGUGAGGCCCUUCUGACGAGUCGAGUUGUUUGGGAAUGCAGCUCUAAGUGGGUGGUAAAUUCCAUCUAAGGCUAAAUAUUGGCGAGAGACCGAUAGCGAACAAGUACUGUGAAGGAAAGAUGAAAAGCACUUUGAAAAGAGAGUGAAACAGCACGUGAAAUUGUUGAAAGGGAAGGGUAUUGGGCUCGACAUGGGAUUUACGCAUCGUUGCCUCUCGUGGGCGGCGCUCUGGGUUUUUCCUGGGCCAGCAUCGGUUUCUGUUGCAGGAUAAGGACCUUUGGAAUGUGGCUCCUCGGAGUGUUAUAGCCAUUGGUAGAUGCUGCAUAUGGGGACCGAGGGCUGCGGCGGACUCGUUUUCGUCUCGGAUGCUGGCACAACGGCGCAAUACCGCCCGUCUUGAAACAUGGACCAAGGAGUCUAAC